rnacentral:lncRNA from 1 species
UAGCCUUAGAUCAGAGGGAUACUUAUACCCAUAUCCCAUCAGAGCAAUUUUUGACAGUAGAAUACUCCAAAAGUGGUCAUGCUUAGUAAAAUAUACUUCUACAUAUCACUCAUAUGCCAUAUCCACAUCACCACAUCCCUUGGUUAAGAGGACACCCAACUAAUAUAGCAGACGAUGACCUACACUCGAUACAAUUAUCAUCCUUAUAAUAAUUGUAUCAUUUGAUUGCGAGUA